AUCUAUGGUUGUACUACUCUAAACAUACCAGAUCUCUUAUAAUCUCAGAAGCCAAACAUGGUCUGGUCUAUUUAGUAAUUAGAUGGGAAAUUGCCUGGCAAUACUUACUGAGUGCUAUAGGCU
ensembl:rRNA 5S_rRNA 5S ribosomal RNA